UGGGAAGCCAGCCCAAGGUGGGUGAGGGACAUGCUUCCCUAUCCAUAUUUUUGGUGCUUGAACAAAAAGAUUUUUAACUCAUCAAACUUGCAAAUACAACGAACUAGAUUUGGCCUUUUAAAGAUCCAGACUGUGUGUGUGCAUGUGUGUGCGCGUGUGUGUGUGUACGAGUAUGUAUGCAAAUGAGGCCCGCAUGCAGUGCAGUGGCUAUGGGCGCAUGCUCUGAUAUUGAACUUCCGAUAUGCAAAUUUGGCUCCAACACGGACUGAACUUGGACAAAUCACUUAAGCUCCACACCUCUGUUUCCUUAUCUUUUAAGAUGGGCUUAAUACUAAUAACUAGCUCAUAAGACUGUGAGGAUUGAAGAAGGUGCAGCAGGUACAAUGCCUAGCAGGGGCGAGCAGGAAAUGCCCUAACUGGAAUGAUCAGGCCUACGGGAGCUUACACUGUUCUUGUCCAAAGAAAAAAACAAUUUAACUCUUCUCUACUAAGGAAAAAUAAUCACCAGGCUUCUGUGACCUGAAUUGAAGGAAAAGAAUUCAGGCAGAAAGCCCAAGAAGUUUCUAAUUCCCUCUUCUUGUAGGCCUCUUUCCAUUUUUAUUGAAGCAAAAAAAGUCGAGUAGCAAGAGGCAUGCCAGCUGUUGCAUGAUUGUGCAAAAUUCUGCUUCUUCCAGCAGAGGCCUCCUGUGCACAGGAAAUGAGGCUGGCGGGGUGGUGGAGGGGGGACGGCGGAGGGGACAGCCGUGGGCCACCACACUGGUUUCCAGGAGGCUUCCCCUGAAUGAGGCAGGAAGGAGGGGCUGGGGAAGAGUUUGCAGGGCCUCCUAAUGCCGGAUGCCAGUGCCGCCCAAAUGUGCAAGUCUUUCUUCAAGAUCUAAAAUGGUCCCUGGCUCCUGUAAGUGUGCAUAUGUUGAUCGUCACUCAAGAGGCGCUCUGGGGCCCUGUCUGUGUGACCUUCCCUUUCGGAGCAGCCACGCGUUCUGUGAUGGGCUGCAGAGCCAGGCCGAGGAGUGCCGUGUGAGCACUGAAGGCCGAGUCCAGACCUUGCUGCUUCCACUAGACCAGGAACCUCCAGGUACCUCGGGGGCUUUGUCAUUGCAAAAAAAUGGGCAGGAAUUAAAACCCCUCCCUGUUUAUUUCUCAGAUUGUUAUGAGAAUAAAUAUUUGAAAAUAUUUUGUAAACGAAAGUUUUCAGCUUUUGUAUUUUGA
rnacentral:lncRNA from 1 species